UUCCUGGUAGUCCAGUGGUUAGGACUCCGCACUUUCAUUGCUGAGGCCCAGGUUCAAUUCCUCCUUAGGGAA
rnacentral:tRNA from 1 species